ACCCAGGCCAGCAAAGCCACUGGGAAGAUGGCCAAAGAGCGCCACGCGCGGUCUCUCGGCUGCCCCACGCUUGUCUGGCGAAGGACAACCGGGCAAGGGGUUGCCCCGCUGGCUUAAGACGUGGAUCCUAGGACUGGUUAGGCGGAGCUGCUCACUCAACUAUCCAGUGUCCGCUUCCAAAGAAAGCGCGCGCCUGGAUGUUUCUGGGGCCUAGGAGCAUUUGGAAGGCUUUAUGGGCGUUUUCCAUACUGAACUUGCAGCUCUUCGCCAUGCGUACCUACUGGUAACCAAGAGAAUGUACCCAGGACAAAGACGUUUAUACUGUUUAUACCUUCACGACAGCAGCAGCUUAGUAGCAACAAUGUGACUCGUAUGACGUUCAGUAUCUGUGUUUCUCAUUUCACGAAUUAUUUAUAUUUCAGUCCUUCAAGAAAAAUGUAAAAAAAAAGUUUGACGAAGCUUUGAUCAUCUGUCUCCUAUCAGCCACGACUUAUUGAGUGGAUUUGGAUCCAAGUUCUGCAAUAUUGGAGUAGAGUCCAGAUUUCCCAUCUUUUCAAUAUUUUUUUUCAAAUAAAAUUUUCUUAGUAAUCAAGUCAUUUAUGAGGAAAGGAUUCAAAUUCAGUCUUCCUUUCUUACCACACUUAAACCAGUGGUUCUCAACCAUGCUAAUGCUGCGAUCCUUUAAUACAAUUUCUUAUGUUAUGGUGACCCCAACAAUAGAGUUAUUUUUGUUGCUACUUCAUAACUGUAAUCUUGCUACUAUUAUGAUUUGUAAUGUAAAUAAAUAUUUUUGGAGAUACAGUUUUACCAAAAAGGUCUGGACCCACAGGCUGAGAACUUCUCAAACAGCCUAUUGUUCAUUCAUUCACCAUUUAUCAAAUACAGAUACCAGAUUUUUGCUAGGCCCCGGGGAAACUCAAUCCCAAGUCCUAAAACUUAAACUUAUGGGGAGGAGAUAUGUAAAAAAACACUGGAUGUAACAGAAAAGCCAAGGACUCAGGAUGUUGAAUUUCCUUUUCCCAGACUUUGCCACUAUAGUCAAGCUCAUAAUACACAUUUUGCUUCUCAUAAAGUAAGGAUCUUGUGUCUAAAGUUCUAACGUUUUUAGUCUGGAAUUCAGUGUAUUUUUUUUUCUUUUUUUCCUUUUUUUUCUCGGAGCUGGGGACUGAACCCAGGGCCUUACGCUUGCUAGGCAAGUGCUCUACAACUGAACUAAAUCCCCAACCCUGGAAUUCAGUGUAUUUAACACUAUAUCAUCCUUUUGAAUCGGUUUAUAAUCAUAUCUAUUUGUUCUUAUGCAACUGCCAUAGACAGUUGUCUUUGAAAACUGGGUGGUGACGGUGGUGACACAUGCCUUUAAUCCUAGAAUUUGGGAGGCAAAGGCAAGCAAGCUCUUGAGUUCCAGGCCAGCCUGGUCUAUAGAGUCAGUUCUAAGACAUCCAGGGCUACCCUGAAAAAACCUGUCUCCAAAACCAAAACCAAAACCAACCAACCAAAACCAAAGAAAGAAAGAAAGAAAGAAGAGAAAGGAAGGAAGAAAGAAAGAAAAGAAAGAAAGAAAGAGAGAAAGAAAGAAGAGAAAGGAAGGAAGAAAGAAAGAAAAGGAAACAGCUUCUAUUUUAUACAACUGGUCCAAAAAUACUUUCUACAUUUUCAGUUCCUAAAAUGGGUUCUAGUUAUAUUUAAUGAAAGGCAGUCACCAUGGUAAACGUCCAAAUAUUAUAGUUUCCCCCACAGACAAGUUUAUAAAUACUUAGAAAUAUCUGUUGGAACUCUAACAUGCUUUAGAAAAUUUUGUAACAAGACUCCCGACCUGAGUAAGCCUCCAGACCUUAGCACAACUGACUCCGUGGUGGAAGUGCGAUUCAGGCCGCAAAACUCAGCAGGUAGACAGCACCGCCCGCCAAAACUAAAACAGAGGCCUGAUCCAUCAAAGCCCAUAGCUCUGGGAAAGUAUCAAAAUGUGCUAUUCAUCGCUUUUUAGCUCUUUUAGCUUCACUUCUGGCUAACUGUUCUUGUUAACCAAAGUGUGUCAAAUCAGAACAUUGUUUUUGAGAAAGGCUCAGGGCUGCACUGGAAUCUCAAUCCCACUGUAGUUGCCAGCCAGCUAAUAAAGACUUCCUAUUGGCUUAAACCCAUGACCAAGCAGUCUUCUCUGGUGAAUACCACACAAUAAUUUUUGACAUGUGAAUGCUUCAUGCUGGUUUUCAGAAGCCACUGUUUCUGAGACGGGUUCAUGGUUCAUAUGACUUAAAUGGCUUUCCCUUUCAAAUAGGUCUUCAGUGAAUGCAAUUGUUGGUUCUCCUCAAAUGUUCAGCUUGGUUAAGCUGCUGUAGACAGUCAAAGGACACCAAACUUGUUGGAAUCAGCUUUUUAAAACAGUGAAGGGGGUUUCCUAUGUCACUAUUACACUUGAUACCCCUAACGCAUUUCUGAACCUGGAGUGUGCUUGCCAAGGAAGUCAAAGGUUGUCCUAAAGUGAUGUGCGGCCGUCACUCUUAGUUCUUGUUGAGAUGAUUUGUUUUAUAGAAGCAAAUAUAACAUAUGCCUGUACGAAAUAAAAGCUUUUAGAGGUCAUCAAAGCAUAGCUUGGUGUUGACCACUUUUAGACUUCUCACUAUUUCUACAGAUAUUAGUGUUGGUACAAGAGGUAUAGUUUGCACCUCUCAUAAAGUCACUGAAACAACUGAUUGUUCAGCUUGUGAAUAAAUGGAAGCCAUUUGGACUUUGCUGCCAUGGCUGCUUUGGUCAGUUUUCUACCCUUGUGAUUCAUAUCGCAUUUUAUUUUUAGUUUUCUAAGGAACCCCUAUAUUGUUUUUCAAAUUUGCCAGACAGAUUUACAUUUCUACAAUGGAUUAAUGGAUACAGAAAAAAAAUGUGCUAUUUACACAAUGGAAUAUAUUUACCCACAAAGAUGAAUGAAAUGGUGACAUUUGCAUGAAAAUGAGUGGAAUUGGAGGCCCUCACAUUAACAAAAUAAGCCAGAUUCAGGAAGAAAAACAUAACCUAUGUUGAGUCUGGGUUUUAAAAAGUCAUGAGAGUCGGGUUGGGGAUUUAGCUCAGUGGUAGAGCGCUUGCCUAGCAACCGAAAGGCUCUGGGUUCGGUCCCCAGCUCCGGAAAAGAAAAAAAAAAAAAAAAAGACAAAAAAAAAGACAUGAGAGUAGAGUAGUGGGCUACGGAAAUAUGGUUAUGCCAUCUCAUGAAAAUAUUCCUGUGAAUACAUUAAGUGUUAAAACUAUCCUGGGUAAAACUGGACUCUGUACUAGCCCUAAAUUCCUAAGGUAAACUGGUCCUAUACAAUAUGACCUUGAGCUAAAGGUUACCUGCCUGACCAUAUAGCUGUUACCUCUCCACUGCUGUAAACAGCUUCUGCAAACAACGCUUGUUAUCUGUAUACAUUA